GCAGGCCUAACACAUGCAAGUCGAGCGGUAGAGAGAAGCUUGCUUCUCUUGAGAGCGGCGGACGGGUGAGUAAAGCCUAGGAAUCUGCCUGGUAGUGGGGGAUAACGUUCGGAAACGGACGCUAAUACCGCAUACGUCCUACGGGAGAAAGCAGGGGACCUUCGGGCCUUGCGCUAUCAGAUGAGCCUAGGUCGGAUUAGCUAGUUGGUGAGGUAAUGGCUCACCAAGGCGACGAUCCGUAACUGGUCUGAGAGGAUGAUCAGUCACACUGGAACUGAGACACGGUCCAGACUCCUACGGGAGGCAGCAGUGGGGAAUAUUGGACAAUGGGCGAAAGCCUGAUCCAGCCAUGCCGCGUGUGUGAAGAAGGUCUUCGGAUUGUAAAGCACUUUAAGUUGGGAGGAAGGGUUGUAGAUUAAUACUCUGCAAUUUUGACGUUACCGACAGAAUAAGCACCGGCUAACU
rnacentral:rRNA from 1 species